CAUUUCUAUGGUUGUAUUUUGGCUAGGCUACUUUGAAACAAGGUAAAACAUGCUUUAUAAAAUAAAAAAAACGUCUAGGUUUUAAACAAUUCACUUUAUGGUUGAACAGUUUUAAAAUGCUGACCGCCUCUGCUCAGAUUCAAGGUGGGUGAUGUGGGGUGCGCAACAGGCACUGUCCUUCACUCUCUGGUCUUUACUGGCAUUUAGCCUAUAUUUAUGUAAUUAAAAGUCUCAUUAAAGUUUGACUACAUUUUCUGGCGCUUCAUGUCAGCAUCGGUUUGGACAUGAGGCUGUAGCCAAUAUGCACAGGCUAUCACCUACACCAGGAUUUCCCAAACUCGGUCCUGGUGUAGGUGAUUUCUUCGUUACUGUAUGUACUUAAGUCGUUUUUUGGGGUAUCUGUACUUUACUAUUUAUAUUUCUGUCGACUUUUACUUCACUACACACUUUUUUUUGUAAGAAUACAUUUACUUUGAUACAUUUCCCCUGACACCUUGCUACAAAAUCAAAUCAAUCUGAAGCUGGAAGAAAAAAACGAAUAAUGUUGGAAAAAAGAUGCAAGCAACAUCGGCGAGUCGGCACACUAAUGGGUGAACUUGUUUUGCAAUGCAGCAGGCAACGACAUGCAGAGUUGAUACAAUCCUCAUAAAUUUGGGCAAAUCCAAGGGUCCUAAAGUGCAAACCACAACCACCUGGGAGCCUGUCACUUGCAAAACAGUCAUCCACUCAGUAGCACUUUGCCCAAGCGUGUCCGAAAUCGCUCUACCACCUCCCAAUGAGGACGAACACCCUUGGCUGUAUCUAAAAUACAUGUUUUCUUUUCUCGGAAUGAAGGAUUCAUCCUACCGGAUGAAAUGUCUUAUGUUUACAAAAAGUUCAGGAAAUACUAGCAUUCAAGAACUCACCUUUGAACCUAAACAAAACACAUUGAGGUAAGCCUACUGUUAGCAUGCUAGCUAGAAUAACGUUAAAUUUUUUUAGCAUGCUAGCUAACAUUAGCUAACCUAACUAGCCCACAUUGCUAAUGCAACAAGCAGUGUUAGUUGAUGCUAGCUAAUCCUAGCUAUAUACCUAAAUAGUUCACUAGCUAGUAGCUACCUACUUUAGCUGGCUAAAAUGUGCCCAGAUUCGGAAGCUGUUUUAGCUAACACAAUCUAACUCAACUGACACGAGCUAACUAGCUAGCUAACUAGUAGUUUCUGAAUCUGGGCACAUUUUAGUCAGCUAACAUUAGUCUAGCCAAAUACCUUUUCUCUAAACACCUGGUCAAGCUAGCUAGCUAACUAAUGUUAGCUUUCGGGUGUUAGCUAGCCAUUUUAUUCCUUGUGUUAGUUGAUAAAGUUGUUCUUACCUAACUAAUUACUGUAGACUUAAGUUAUUGACGUAACCUACUAGCUAGAUUAAUUAACAGUUUUUUCUCAUUGUAAUAUUAAAUGGUGGUCACAAACUCUCACUUAACCAAUGUUGUUUAUAGCUUUCAAGGAUCCUAUACCUUAAGUAUUUGGUGAUGGUAGUUAUGUAGCUAAGUAACUGUCUCUCUUUUCCUUUUCUUCUUAUUUCAGAGAAAGCAUGUACACCAUCUUAAGAAGUAUGGAGAACUGACGGUAAACACACUGAAGAGAAAACAUGCCCCUAAGACUCCCUCUACCAUCAAGCAUAGCACAUUACUGAAGACAGUGUCUCAAAAAUCCAUCGACAAAGCUGUGGUGAAGUAUGGGGUCCAAAGGCUCCAACCAUUCUCUGUUGUAGAACAAGAACCGUUCAGAGAGUUUGUCCAGGAUCUGCAGCCUAACUCAAAGAUCUUAUCAAGGCCCACACUGCGCUCCAGGAUUGAUGAAGCCUCCACGGAAAUGAAGAAGGUGACUGAGGCCAUGAGAGGAGUUGACCACAUCGCCACUGACUGCUGGUCUGCAAGAAGACAGAGCUUCAUUGGUGUUACAGCCCACUGGAUAGACCCUGACAGUCUCAACAGAUGCUCUGCAGCCCUAGCCUGUAAACGGUUGAGAGGAUCGCACACCUUUGAUGUGUUGGCAGGCGCCCUAAAUUACAUCCAUUCUGAGUUUGAAAUCCGGGGUAAGAUUGUGAGAACAACAAGACAACGGCUCUAAUUCUUGAAAGCUUUCCACGUUUUUGGAGAAGAUGAAAACGAGGCAGUGGAAGCAGUGGGUGGUGAAGCAGCUAGGACAGGAAGAGAGUGAAUAAGUGGAGUUUGUUGAUGUGGCAACGAUCCUGAAUGAAGAUGAUGGUUUUGAGUACCAGCUGCCAAAGCACCAGCACUGUGCUUGCCACCUACUCAGCAACAUCCAGUGAGGCUUACAGAAAAGUGUCCCAUUCAACAUUUGGCAAGUGCCAAGCACUUUGGAACAAUUGCGGAAGAUCCACGCUUGCAGCCGAAACGGUUGAAGAUGCUUGCGACCUCCAGCUGCUGUGCCCGACUGCUACAAGGUGGAACUCCUGGUUCAUGGCUGUAGAAAGACUCCUGAGGAUCGUCAAAGACAAAGGAGAGGUGGCCGUCAGAGUUCUCUGCACAGACUUCGAGGUUCCAAUGUUCAAUCCAGCUGAACUCGCCUUCCUCACAGAGCAUGCUGCCACCAUGAGCCCAGUCGAAAGGCCAUCAACAUCCUGCAGGCUGAAACCAAUGUCCAGAUGGGGUGGCUACUUCCAACUAUCAACCUGCUGAUCACAAAACUUGACCGAAUCAAGUUGUCCCUGAAGUACUGUAAGCCUCUGGUGGAUGCGCUACAACUGGGACUUGAAGAAGCGCUUCAGCCACGUUUCACGACCCCGAGCUGAUCGCAGCUGCAAUCCUUCUCCCCAAAUUCAAAACAACAUGGACAAAGUAUGAUGCCACCAUCAGAAUGGGAAUGGACUACAUCAAGGACCACCUGGAAGAACCCUUGCUGCAGCUAGGUGAUGGCACCAGUUCAGAUGCACAAGCACAAGAAAGCUCCAAACAGGUGGACGGAUACCUGGUCUGUUCAGCUGAUCAUAUGGAGUUGCUCAAGUCCUUCCCAGCAGUCUGUAAGCUGUCUCUGAGGCUAAACACACCCUUACCUGCAUCAGCUGCAUGUGAAAGGCUGUUCAGCAUUGCAGGACUUGUUUUCAGCCCCAGGAGAGCAAGGCAGGAUUCCAGAAACUUUGAAAACCAGCUUUUACUGAAGAUCAACUGUCAAUUAUUCAACUUCAAGUAAUGACAGCUUAAUGCUAGCAAGCCCAAGGACACGAAUGCCUUAUGCGUUUUGUUAAUUUAUGUUUAUAGGUGUCCUUGUUACAAAGGCAUGACACACUGAUUUCUAAUACAGUUCUAUCAGUGGUGAUGUCCUCAUAUUCCUACAGUGAGGUUGUGUGCAGUUCAGUACAUGUACUUUUGAUAAGCUCAUC